rnacentral:rRNA from 1 species
UACGUAGGGUGCAAGCGUUAAUCGGAAUUACUGGGCGUAAAGCGUGCGCAGGCGGUUAUGCAAGACAGAGGUGAAAUCCCCGGGCUCAACCUGGGAACUGCCUUUGUGACUGCAUAGCUAGAGUGCGGCAGAGGGGGAUGGAAUUCCGCGUGUAGCAGUGAAAUGCGUAGAUAUGCGGAGGAACACCGAUGGCGAAGGCGAUCCCCUGGGCCUGCACUGACGCUCAUGCACGAAAGCGUGGGGAGCAAACAGGAUUAGAUACCCUGGUAGUCCACGCCCUAAACGAUGUCAACUGGUUGUUGGGAGGGUUUCUUCUCAGUGACGUAGCUAACGCGUGAAGUUGACCGCCUGGGGAGUACGGCCGCAAGGUUGAA